UACGGAGGGGGCUAGCGUUGUCCGAAGUUACUGGCGUAAAGCGCGCGUAGGCGGGUUGGUAAGUCCGCUGUGAAAGCCCGGAGCUCACUCCGGAGGUCGGUGGAUACUGCCAGUCUUGAAGGUGCUAGGGGGAGAUGGAAUUACCGGUGUAGCGGUGAAAUGCGUAGAUAUCGGUAGGAACACCAGUGGCGAAGGCGGUCUCCUGGGGCAUUCUUGACGCUGAGGCGCGAAAGCUGGGGGGGGAGCGAACGGG
rnacentral:rRNA from 1 species